CCUACGGGAGGCAGCAGUGAGGAAUAUUGGUCAAUGGCCGGAAGGCUGAACCAGCCAAGUCGCGUGAAGGAUGAAGGUGCUACGGAUUGUAAACUUCUUUUGUCAAGGAACAAAGUCAGGCACGAGAGCCUGUCCGUAUGUACUUCAUGAAAAAGGAUCGGCUAACUCCGUGCCAGCAGCCGCGGUAAUACGGAGGAUGGGAGCGUUAUCCGGAUUUAUUGGGUUUAAAGGGUGCGUAGGCGGGUUGUUAAGUCAGUGUUAAAAGGUAGGGGCUCAACCCCGGCUAGCCGUUGACACUGGCAGUCUUGAGUAGGCGAGAGGUAGGCGGAAUGCGUGGUGUAGCGGUGAAAUGCUUAGAUAUCACGAAGAACUCCGAUUGCGAAGGCAGCAUAC
rnacentral:rRNA from 1 species